rnacentral:rRNA from 1 species
AUGGAUGCCGGGGUGGCGGCCCCGGAUGGUGCGCUACAUGGUUGGCUCUCCGGCGGGCACAAUGGCAGCGGUGGUGGCUCUCCUCUUGGUCGUGUGGGCGACGAGGGGGUACCGUCAGGUGGCUCGGGCUCGCACUCCUUCGCUGGGGCGAUGCCUAGAUCCAGAACUGCGUAUCUGGAAUCGCCGUGGUUGCCCUUGUGGCCUCGUGUGGCACGGGUGAGUUGCCGAACGAAAGCUCCGUGCUUUUGCGCCGACGGCGACGACACUCGUGGGUGCCGCUUCCACCGCUGCGUCAAGGAGGUUCUGUGGCUUCACCCGCCGGCGAUGAUGCUGCUACGCCACGCGCGGCGGAGCUUCACCGUGCGAACCAGGGAGGGCGACGAGUACCAAGUCCCGGAGGGGCGUACGGUCGCGAGCCCGCUGGUGAUCCACAAUCGUCUCUCGCAUGUGUACAAGGACCCGGAGAGGUACGAGCCGGACAGGUUUGGCCCGGGCAGAGGGGAGGAUGGGGUCGGCGGGGCGUUCUCUUACACGGCGUUCGGUGUUGGGUGGCGCGCCUGCGUCGGCGAGGCGUUCGCGUACAUGCAGAUCAAGGUGAUAUGGAGCCACCUGCUGAGGAACUUCGAGAUGGAGAUGGUAUUGCCAUUCCCUGAGACGGACUGGAACGUGGUCAUGCCGGGGCCCAAGGGGAAGGUCAUGGUCCGCUACAACAGGAGGAUGUCAGCGGCCACGUAA